rnacentral:rRNA from 1 species
AGACCCGAAACCCGGUGAUCUAGCCAUGGGCAGGUUGAAGGUUGGGUAACACUAACUGGAGGACCGAACCGACUAAUGUUGAAAAAUUAGCGGAUGACCUGUGGCUGGGGGUGAAAGGCCAAUCAAACCGGGAGAUAGCUGGUUCUCCCCGAAAGCUAUUUAGGUAGCGCCUCGUGAACUCAUCUCCGGGGGUAGAGCACUGUUUCGGCUAGGGGGCCAUCCCGGCUUACCAACCCGAUGCAAACUGCGAAUACCGGAGAAUGUUAUCACGGGAGACACACGGCGGGUGCUAACGUCCGUCGUGAAGAGGGAAACAACCCAGACCGCCAGCUAAGGUCCCAAAGUCAUGGUUAAGUGGGAAACGAUGUGGGAAGGCCCAGACAGCCAGGAUGUUGGCUUAGAAGCAGCCAUCAUUUAAAGAAAGCGUAAUAGCUCACUGGUCGAGUCGGCCUGCGCGGAAGAUGUAACGGGGCUAAACCAUGCACCGAAGCUGCGGCAGCGACACUUUAGUGUUGUUGGGUAGGGGAGCGUUCUGUAAGCCGUUGAAGGUGUCCUGUGAGGGGUGCUGGAGGUAUCAGAAGUGCGAAUGCUGACAUAAGUAACGAUAAAGCGGGUGAAAAGCCCGCUCGCCGGAAGACCAAGGGUUCCUGUCCAACGUUAAUCGGGGCAGGGUGAGUCGACCCCUAAGGCGAGGCCGAAAGGCGUAGUCGAUGGGAAACGGGUUAAUAUUCCCGUACUUGGUGUUACUGCGAAGGGGGGACGGAGAAGGCUAUGUUGGCCGGGCGACGGUUGUCCCGGUUUAAGCGUGUAGGUGUGUGUUCCAGGUAAAUCCGGUUCACUUUAACACUGAGGCGUGAUGACGAGGCACCACGGUGCUGAAGCAACAAAUGCCCUGCUUCCAGGAAAAGCCUCUAAGCAUCAGGUAACAUCAAAUCGUACCCCAAACCGACACAGGUGGUCAGGUAGAGAAUACCAAGGCGCUUGAGAGAACUCGGGUGAAGGAACUAGGCAAAAUGGUGCCGUAACUUCGGGAGAAGGCACGCUGACACGUAGGUGAAGUGAUUUACUCAUGGAGCUGAAGUCAGUCGAAGAUACCAGCUGGCUGCAACUGUUUAUUAAAAACACAGCACUGUGCAAACACGAAAGUGGACGUAUACGGUGUGACGCCUGCCCGGUGCCGGAAGGUUAAUUGAUGGGGUCAGCGCAAGCGAAGCUCCUGAUCGAAGCCCCGGUAAACGGCGGCCGUAACUAUAACGGUCCUAAGGUAGCGAAAUUCCUUGUCGGGUAAGUUCCGACCUGCACGAAUGGCGUAAUGAUGGCCAGGCUGUCUCCACCCGAGACUCAGUGAAAUUGAACUCGCUGUGAAGAUGCAGUGUACCCGCGGCAAGACGGAAAGACCCCGUGAACCUUUACUAUAGCUUGACACUGAACAUUGAGCCUUGAUGUGUAGGAUAGGUGGGAGGCUUUGAAGCGUGGACGCCAGUCUGCGUGGAGCCGACCUUGAAAUACCACCCUUUAAUGUUUGAUGUUCUAACGUGGACCCGUAAUCCGGGUUGCGGACAGUGUCUGGUGGGUAGUUUGACUGGGGCGGUCUCCUCCUAAAGAGUAACGGAGGAGCACGAAGGUUGGCUAAUCCUGGUCGGACAUCAGGAGGUUAGUGCAAUGGCAUAAGCCAGCUUGACUGCGAGCGUGACGGCGCGAGCAGGUGCGAAAGCAGGUCAUAGUGAUCCGGUGGUUCUGAAUGGAAGGGCCAUCGCUCAACGGAUAAAAGGUACUCCGGGGAUAACAGGCUGAUACCGCCCAAGAGUUCAUAUCGACGGCGGUGUUUGGCACCUCGAUGUCGGCUCAUCACAUCCUGGGGCUGAAGUAGGUCCCAAGGGUAUGGCUGUUCGCCAUUUAAAGUGGUACGCGAGCUGGGUUUAGAACGUCGUGAGACAGUUCGGUCCCUAUCUGCCGUGGGCGCUGGAAGACUGAGGGGGGCUGCUCCUAGUACGAGAGGACCGGAGUGGACGCAUCACUGGUGUUCGGGUUGUCAUGCCAAUGGCACUGCCCGGUAGCUAAAUGCGGAAAAGAUAAGUGCUGAAAGCAUCUAAGCACGAAACUUGCCCC